GAUGAACGCUAGCUACAGGCUUAACACAUGCAAGUCGAGGGGAAACGACAUCGAAAGCUUGCUUUUGAUGGGCGUCGACCGGCGCACGGGUGAGUAACGCGUAUCCAACCUGCCCACCACUUGGGGAUAACCUUGCGAAAGUAAGACUAAUACCCAAUGACGUCUCCAGAAGACAUCUGAAAGAGAUUAAAGAUUUAUCGGUGAUGGAUGGGGAUGCGUCUGAUUAGCUUGUUGGCGGGGUAACGGCCCACCAAGGCGACGAUCAGUAGGGGUUCUGAGAGGAAGGUCCCCCACAUUGGAAAUGAGACACGGUCCAAACUCCUACGGGAGGCAGCAGUGAGGAAUAUUGGUCAAUGGGCGAGAGCCUGAACCAGCCAAGUAGCGUGCAGGAUGACGGCCCUAUGGGUUGUAAACUGCAUUUAUAAGGGAAUAAAGUGAGUCCCGUGAGACUUUUUGCAUGUACCUUAUGAAUAAGGACCGGCUAAUUCCGUGCCAGCCGCCGCGGUAA
rnacentral:rRNA from 1 species